rnacentral:rRNA from 1 species
CCUUUGACGUUAGCGGCGGACGGGUGAGUAACACGUGGGUAACCUACCUAUAAGACUGGGAUAACUUCGGGAAACCGGAGCUAGUACCGGAUAAUAUUUCGAACCGCAUGGUUCGAUAGUGAAAGAUGGUUUUGCUAUCACUUAUAGAUGGACCCGCGCCGUAUUAGCUAGUUGGUAAGGUAACGGCUUACCAAGGCGACGAUACGUAGCCGACCUGAGAGGGUGAUCGGCCACACUGGAACUGAGACACGGUCCAGACUCCUACGGGAGGCAGCAGGC